UACGGGGGGCGCAAGCGUUGUUCGGAAUUACUGGGCGUAAAGGGCAGGUAGGUGGUUUAUUAAGUCGACUGUGAAAAUCCGGGGCUCAACCCCGCGAAAUGCAGGCGAAACUGGUAGACUAGAGACCGGUAGAGGCUAGUGGAAUUCCUGGUGUAGCGGUGGAAUGCGUAGAUAUCAGGAAGAACACCAGUGGCGAAGGCGGCUAGCUGGGCCGGAUCUGACACUGAACUGCGAAAGCGUGGGGAGCAAA
rnacentral:rRNA from 1 species